rnacentral:rRNA from 1 species
CUCGACUACAUGAAGCUGGAAUCGCUAGUAAUCGCGAAUCAGCAUGUCGCGGUGAAUACGUUCCCGGGCCUUNUACACACCGCCCGUCACACCAUGAGAGCCGGUAACACCCGAAGUCAGUAGUCUAACCGCAAGGGGGACGCUGCCGAAGGUGGGGCUGGUGAUUGGGGUGAAGUCGUAACAAGGUAUC